CAUGCAGUCGAACGACGGGGAGGGGCAACCCUUCUACGGAGUGGCGAACGGGUGAGUAACACGUGAACAAUCUGUCCUUACGUUCCGAAUAAUUGACCGAAAGGUCUUGUAAUGCGGGCGAGGAUGGCGGGAAGGCAUCUUUCUGUCAGGGAAGGCAUCGGGGUAACUUGAUGUCGUGCAAGGAGGAGUUCGCGGCCUAUCAGGUAGUAGGUGGGGUAAUGGCCUACCUAGCCGACGACGGGUAGCUGGUCUGAGAGGAUGGUCAGCCACAUUGGAACUGAGAUACUGUCCAGACUCCUACGGGAGGCUGCAGUCGAGAAUCUUGGGCAAUGCACGAAAGUGUGACCCAGCGACGCCGCGUGGAGGAAGAAGGCCCUUGGGUCGUAAACUCCUUUUAGAGCAGAAGAAUGAGGCGCAAGCCUUUUGACGGUAUGCUCUGAAUAAGCCACGGCUAACUACGUGCCAGCGGCCGCGGUAAUACGUAGGUGGCAAGCGUUGUCCGGAUUUACUGGGCGUAAAGCGUAUGCAGGCGGAAGGUUAAGUAGGAAGUGAAAGGGUGGAGCUCAACUCCGCCACUGCUCCCUAUACUGGCCUUCUUGAGUGCCGGGGAGGAUAAUGGAACUCCACGUGUAGCGGUGAAAUGCGUUGAGAUGUGGAGGAACACCGAUGGCGAAGGCAGCCUCCUGGGCCAAUACUGACGCUCAUGCACGAAAGCGUGGGGAGCAAACAGGAUUAGAUACCCUGGUAGUCACGCCCUAACGAUGAUGACUANUUGUUGGAAGAGUUAAUCCUUUAUAACGCACCUAAC
rnacentral:rRNA from 1 species